UGCAGAAUCACGUGAAUCAUCGAGUUUUUGACGCAAGUUGCGCCCAAAGCCAUUCGGCCGAGGGCACGUCUGCCUGGGUGUCA
rnacentral:rRNA from 1 species